rnacentral:rRNA from 1 species
UACGUAGGGUGCAAGCGUUGUCCGGAAUUAUUGGGCGUAAAGAGCUCGUAGGCGGUUUGUCGCGUCUGCUGUGAAAUCCCGAGGCUCAACCUCGGGUCUGCAGUGGGUACGGGCAGACUAGAGUGCGGUAGGGGAGAUUGGAACUCCUGGUGUAGCGGUGGAAUGCGCAGAUAUCAGGAAGAACACCGGUGGCGAAGGCAGAUCUCUGGGCCGUAACUGACGCUGAGGAGCGAAAGCAUGGGGAGCGAACAGG